rnacentral:rRNA from 1 species
CACGUAGGGGGCAAGCGUUGUCCGGAUUUAUUGGGCGUAAAGAGCUCGUAGGCGGCUCGGUAAGUCGGGUGUCAAAUCCUCAGGCUCAACCUGGGGCACCACCCGAUACUGCUGUGGCUAGAGUCCGGUAGGGGAGCGUGGAAUUCCUGGUGUAGCGGUGAAAUGCGCAGAUAUCAGGAGGAACACCAGCGGCGAAGGCGGCGCUCUGGGCCGGAUCUGACGCUGAGGAGCGAAAGCGUGGGUAGCAAACAGG